AUACGGAGGGUGCAAGCGUUAUUCGGAAUCACUGGGCGUAAAGGGUGCGUAGGCGGUUUGGUAAGUCUGAUGUGAAAUCCUAUGGCUCAACCAUAGAACUGCAUUGGAAACUGCUAGACUAGAAUACUGAAGGGGCAGAUGGAAUUAGUGGUGUAGGGGUAAAAUCCGUAGAUAUCACUAGGAAUACCGAAAGCGAAAGCGAUCUGCUGGGAAGUUAUUGACGCUGAGGCACGAAAGCGUGGGGAGCAAACGGGAUUAGAAACCCCGGUAGUCC
rnacentral:rRNA from 1 species